GAUGCGUCUGGUAUCGUCCCGUUGUGCCUUUCCGAUCCGCCUGCGGUAUCAGUAAUAUUGCUUUACUAACAAUUGGCCUCCUCAAGCGGCUGAGGAGGAAGAGGCAGAAAUUAAAUCGAUGAUGAGGAAUCCAUCUCACAAAUGGGCAUACAUUCGGAUCAUCACCGGUACAAUCGUCGGAGGGAUUCUCGGUUUCUACGUUAUGCAUCGCCUUGAAACUAAUUAUAAGGAAAAAAUGAAUGAAAGACUAAGAAAUUAUGAAGCUGAAUUGCAGAGGAAGAAGCAUGAAAGACUGAAUGAGUUUAAAGAAGAAUCGUCCUAGCUCUCCCACUGAGUGACAAGCCUCUUGUUUAGUUUUCUGAAAUUGAACUGUAGAACAGGCAAACUUAUUAAUUAUAUGAAAAGAAAUUUUAAAUAUAACUUAUAAAUAAAAGCUUUCGCGGAUUGCAUCCUCCUUAGAACAGGGAAGAAAAGGUUUGCCCAUCGAGACGCCUGGGUGAAUUCUAGGAUUUUGGACGAGACUUUCAUGCUGACAAUUAGGAAUGGGAAAGAAGCGACCAGAUGAUCCAGCAGAGCAAGGAGAAGUGUCGGUUCCACAGGAAUCAGCAGAAGAACAUUUUGGAAUCGGUUACAGAGGUCAUCGACAUUGAUGCCAUCAUCGAACAAGCAGACGAGGCUGGGCGUCUCUUCUUCUCCAACCGCCUGCCCCUGACCUCCCCAUUAGUCUACUCGAGGAAAUGAGAAGCAUGUCCUCACACCCAUUGUGAAGAAUCUUGGAUAUCUGGAGACAGCUUGGGCGAGUUGUUGAGUAGUGAUUUGCUUGUGAUGGUUGUUGAUUAGCGAGAGUCCACUUUUUUACCGCUGUCCUGAUCUCGAGGUAAGGAGACUAUUUUUCUUGAUUGAUGAGUUUUGGAUUGUGAACUCAAAGUAAGCUGACAAAUCCAGAGACUUGAGAUCUUUCUUGUCCAUGGCAACUCUAAACAAAAUUGAUGUGUAAAUGCUUUGCGUUUGCAAAAGUGGAAUGAGACCUCUUUAAAAGUGAUGCAUACAUUGAUUAACAGAAUAUAAUGAUGUUUGGGGUUA